rnacentral:lncRNA from 1 species
UCAAGCUAUUUCAUCUAUUUAAUUUCCUUUCCGAUUCAUCAUCAACUUGAUAUCCCUUUUUGUUGUAGCACCACAAUGGCUCAACCCGGGUUCACCACACGAGACUCAAACAUAAGACCACACUAUGUAAGACCCAUAGGCCACUGAAUACUCUCUCCAAUAUUCCCAGAAAUACCACAUCCCAAAACACUUUAUCUUGAAGAACUUCCCGUGAAUCUGAAUUUGUUACCACUAAUUUCCAGAUACCGAUACAUAGGGUCCCAUAAUCAACAUAAAAAUACCACAAGUCUUGACCUUUUCCAAUGAAAACACAGUCUCUACCCACUUACGCAACCUCAAGACACCUGAUUGUUACAUGUAGAAUCUUGAACAGAAUAAAACCAUUCUUGAGAAUCAUUCCCUCUUAUUCAAACUACAAAUUCCAUGACUUAACGAACAAAACCACUCGUGCCUUAUUAGCCCUCUGACACCACAGGGUAUGAUCUCAUUUCAAUACAAACAAACAUCUUCAUUUUCUAUACACUGAGCAUUUUUUAUCUAUGACAGCCCAAGCCAUCCUAUUAUUUUCACACAUCUACG